GAUCAGAAAAGUUGGACAAAUUCUGAGUUUCCAAGGUGUAUGGUAGAUAUAGCGCACCCGCAACGCAGCUGAUUACUACUACACUUGUUGACUGUGGCGUGUGUUUGUCUUAUAAACUGUCUGUCUGCUGCUGCUUCUUCUUGUUCUUCAGAAAGGAGCGAUCCUGUAAAUUGCUUCUUCACCCCUAUAAAACAGCUUCUGAUCAGUGAAUGAAAAUGGCUAGGCUACUACAUUUACUGAUCGGAUUAUGUGACUUGUGAGCUUAAAUCACAUUGUAUAAAAACAACUGCUUUGUGUGUGUGUUCCUGAAGAAGAACAAGUAUGGAUUUCUUUGAAGGUCUUACAUAUGAGCAUCUCAAUUUUAUCUUUGCUGAUCAUGAUCAUGAUCAUUUCUUCUCUACAACACAGGAGAGCUUAAAUCCCUUAAUGAAUACUAGUGCAUACAAAUUUGGGUUAUGUGAACCUGGGUGCUUAUCUGAACCUGGGUGCUUAUCUUACUAUGAUUAUGGUCAUACUUAUGUGGUCGGAGACUGUACACCACGGAUUAAUGAGUACAGCAGUCACAUGGAGAACUCCGCUUCACUGCCCAGUGUCAGGCCCGCAGCUGUGCAUACACCACAUGAAGAAAUUUCAAGCUCAACGUCGCAUGUAAAUCCUGUCGAUUGUCUACGAGGUCCUCAUAAUACUGAUGAUUACCAGGUUGUUUGGCAAGACAAUGUCGACCCUGACAACAUGACUUAUGAGGAACUGCUUGACUUAGGUGAGACAGUUGGAACUCAAAGUCGUGGUCUUUCCCAAGAGAAUAUUUCCUUGCUCCCAAUCUCGAAGUUCAAGUGUGGGUUUUUUUCUAGAAGAAAAUCUAGAAGAGAAAGGUGUGUGAUUUGCCAGAUGGAGUAUAAACGCGGUGACCAACAGAUUAACCUUCCAUGUAAACAUAUCUAUCAUUCUGGUUGCGGCAGCAGAUGGCUUAGUAUCAACAAGGCUUGCCCCAUUUGUUACAAGGAGGUCUUUGCCAAUGCAUCAAAGCAGUCAGCAAAGUAGUAAGCAGAAAAGGGGAUGCUUCCAUUGCUCAGUUUGUGUUUCUCUUUUAGUGCUUGGAAACGUGGCAAGAUGUAUUGAUGUCACCUUUGGUGGUGCUACCAUGCGUGAUUGGGUUAACUAAUACAGUAUCUCAUAGUAUUCUGUUCUGUCGUUUGUUUUGGUCUGUAAGAGUAACGGGCGAAAAGCUUUAAAAUGGUGAUAUCCUUAAAAUUCCUCUACUUCAUAUCAACAUGCUUUUAUUAGAGACAUCAAAUCGAAUCUAUUACAAUUCCACAGACAGAGAGAUGGUGACCACACUAAACUCGAAAGAUACCUAAAAUGCAUCAUACAACGUAAUAAUAACAAAAGGUAAAUAAUUUGAUGCGACGAUGUUCAUAUUUAUUUAGUUAGCAGCAUAGAAUCACAAACACUGCAUUUAUUCGUAAUCGACUUGGCUCUUAGUACAUCAUAAGUAGUAACCGUGAAUCAAAAUCAGAAGAUGCAUGCAUGGCAGGCGGGGCAUUGAUAUCUAGUAAGGAGGUGGUGGAGACUUGUACAUGUAGUGCUUUGUGGGUGCUGGUGCUGGCGAUUUGUAGGUGUCGGGUGACUUAGGUGCUGGUGCUGGUGCUUCUGGAGCUGGAGAAGGUGUAUAGACAUAAGGAGAUGAUGGAGACGGAGAAGGUGAUAGGGGACAAUGACAAACACAUGUGUGCGAUGGAGAAGGGGACGGCGAAUAAGGAGCUGGAGCAGGUGUUGGAGAUGGAGAAGGUGAUGGUGAAGUGUAGACCACAGGGCUGGAGGUUGCAGGUGGAGGUGGAGAUUUGUAGACGUAGUGGUGGUGGGGAUUUGCAACUGCAUAAUUGGUAGCAAUGCUACAUAAUAUUGCUGCAAGAGUGCAAAAUGCUAGUGAAGGUCCCAUUUUUGAAUAUCUCUUUAAACAAGGGACUGAAUGAAGAGGCUAAUGCAAGACUACAAAUGGUAGCUUGUUGCUGGAUAUAUGAGAUUGUGGUUUGUUUUACCCUCUAUAUAUAGUGCUCAUUUUUGACAUUUACAACUUUGGUGGAUGUUAUUGAUGCUAUUAUAAUACUAUGUGUAAGUAAAUUUUUUUUGUUGGA